rnacentral:rRNA from 1 species
GACGAACGCUGGCGGCGUGCCUAAUACAUGCAAGUCGAGCGGAGAUUUGGGAGCUUGCUCCCAAAUCUUAGCGGCGGACGGGUGAGUAACACGUGGGCAACCUGCCCUGCAGACUGGGAUAACUCCGGGAAACCGGAGCUAAUACCGGGUAAUACAUCGCACCGCAUGGUGCAAUGUUGAAAGUUGGCUUUCGAGCUAACACUGCAGGAUGGGCCCGCGGCGCAUUAGCUAGUUGGUAAGGUAAUGGCUUACCAAGGCGACGAUGCGUAGCCGACCUGAGAGGGUGAUCGGCCACACUGGGACUGAGACACGGCCCAGACUCCUACGGGAGGCAGCAGUAGGGAAUCUUCCGCAAUGGACGAAAGUCUGACGGAGCAACGCCGCGUGAGUGACGAAGGCCUUCGGGUCGUAAAGCUCUGUUGUUAGGGAAGAACAAGUACCGUUCGAAUAGGGCGGUACCUUGACGGUACCUAACCAGAAAGCCACGGCUAACUACGUGCCAGCAGCCGCGGUAAUACGUAGGUGGCAAGCGUUGUCCGGAAUUAUUGGGCGUAAAGCGCGCGCAGGCGGUCUUUUAAGUCUGAUGUGAAAGCCCACGGCUCAACCGUGGAGGGUCAUUGGAAACUGGAGGACUUGAGUGCAGAAGAGGA